rnacentral:rRNA from 1 species
UGACCCGUCCUGAAACACGGACCAAGGAGUCUAACGUGUGUGCGAGUCGUUGGGUUCCGUGCCGGGGUGUUUAUCAUUCCGGUGCGAGCACUGACGAAACCCGAAGGCGAAAAGAAAUUGAAAACGAGUCCAGUACUCGUCGAGGGAAGAUGGCGACGGAUCCGGCCCUUUUCCUGGGGUACGCAGAUCGGCCCGCAUUCCCGGGGUGCCUCAAUCGCCGGCGCUCGUAAAAAAAGUGUUGACGAGAGGUGCGCCUAGAGCACCCACGCUAGGACCCGAAAGAUGGUGAACUAUGCCUGGCCAGGACGAAGUCAGGGGAAACCCUGAUGGAGGUCCGAAACGAUUCUGACGUGCAAAUCGAUCGUCUGAGCUGGGUAUAGGGGCGAAA